UGGGGAAUAUUGCACAAUGGGCGCAAGCCUGAUGCAGCCAUGCCGCGUGUAUGAAGAAGGCCUUCGGGUUGUAAAGUACUUUCAGCGGGGAGGAAGGUGUUGAGGCUAAUAACCUCAGCAAUUGACGUUACCCGCAGAAGAAGCACCGGCUAACUCCGUGCCAGCAGCCGCGGUAAUACGGAGGGUGCAAGCGUUAAUCGGAAUUACUGGGCGUAAAGCGCACGCAGGCGGUCUGUCAAGUCGGAUGUGAAAUCCCCGGGCUCAACCUGGGAACUGCAUUCGAAACUGGCAGGCUAGAGUCUUGUAGAGGGGGGUAGAAUUCCAGGUGUAGCGGUGAAAUGCGUAGAGAUCUGGAGGAAUACCGGUGGCGAGGGCGGCCCCCUGGACAAAGACUGACGCUCAGGUGCGAAAGCGUGGGGAGCAAACA
rnacentral:rRNA from 1 species